GCCGGAUUAGCUUAGCCGUAGAGCGCCACAUGCGGAGUGUGGAUGUCGCGUGUUCGAGUCACGCAAGCGGCACCA
rnacentral:tRNA from 1 species